rnacentral:rRNA from 1 species
ACGACUUCGGAUGCUGACGAGUGGCGAACGGGUGAGUAAUACAUCGGAACGUGCCCAGUAAUGGGGGAUAGCUCGGCGAAAGCCGGAUUAAUACCGCAUACGCCCUGAGGGGGAAAGUGGGGGAUCGCAAGACCUCACGUUAUUGGAGCGGCCGAUGGCUGAUUAGCUAGUUGGUAGGGUAAAGGCCUACCAAGGCGACGAUCAGUAGCUGGUCUGAGAGGACGAUCAGCCACACUGGGACUGAGACACGGCCCAGACUCCUACGGGAGGCAGCAGUGGGGAAUUUUGGACAAUGGGGGAAACCCUGAUCCAGCAAUGCCGCGUGUGCGAAGAAGGCCUUCGGGUUGUAAAGCACUUUUGUCAGGGAAGAAAUCCUUUGGGCUAAUACCCUAGGGGGAUGACGGUACCUGAAGAAUAAGCACCGGCUAACUACGUGCCAGCAGCCGCGGUAAUACGUAGGGUGCAAGCGUUAAUCGGAAUUACUGGGCGUAAAGCGUGCG